UUGCUAAAUACACCAACCCCACGCCCACUUCCCGCUCCAAGUUCAGAAACACAAUUUUAUCCUUUUCUGCAUUCGAGCGUAUCAGAAUUCAGAAACACCAACCUUCAUCACAGUUGCGCCGCCAUCACUCUGUUUGCUCGCGCCGCCACUCUCGCUCCUCAGGUAUCCCUUCAAUUUCAUUUGGAAAUUCCUAAAUUCCCCUUUAUCUUCUCCACACCGAUGACCCCUCUGCUCUUCAGAUCAGUGUGCCAGAAGGUUGUGAUCUUAUUGCUGUUGGAGCACUUGCUGUGGCAUUUGGCACUUCUCAGGUAGCAUUUGUGCAUAGAGCUAAUUUAACCUCUGGUCAGGUGCUGGUGGUUUUGGGUGCAACAGGAGGUGUAGGGCUUGGCGGCUUGCAGCUGUUCAAAUUGGAAAAGCGUGUGGUACCAUUGUCAUUGCUGUUGCUAGGUAUCCUUUGGAGUUGAAUGUUUAUUGUUUUGCAUAACUCGGUUUUAGGGGAGCUGAAAAGGUGUAGAUUUUGAAGACUCUUGGUGUUGAUCAUGUAAUCCCUGCUAACAUAGCUCUUGUUAAGGCAGGGGAUCCUCUUUAUGUUCUGUUGUGCUGUUGGCUAGCGGCAGUUGGUGCUGGUCUUCUGAAAACUGAGGAGAUUUUGGAAAGGGUGGCGAGGCUGCGAUUCUUGAAGAUUUUACAAUGACUAAUUUGUUGCCAUAAACUAACGAUAGUUAAAUCCUGGUAAUAAUUUUUUUGGUUCUAUUUUAUUUUAAUAGCUAAUAUAUGUCUAAGUUCUGUGCUAGCAGAAAACAAGUUCGUAGUGGAAAGUGGAGCCAAAAUUGUUUGUAUAUGCUACUAUGAGCAGGAAAACAACUGUGGGAUUCAAUGAAGUGUAUUGAUGGAUCUGUGUUCAAUGAAGUGUAUUGAUGCAUGUCAAACACUUUGCUACAAACCCCUGAGCUGUGUUAAUUUGAUUUGAUAGCUUAGGGCUAUAAAUUUGACCAUCCCAGUUACUGUUUUUCAGUGACUUUGUGUUUUGUGAUCACAAAGAGAAUGGCAUCCACUAAUGAGACUGAAAAUCUGGGUGAGAGUGAUACUGUGAAGAACCUUAAACAUGUCGAGAGGAAGCUUCUCAGAUGCAAUGUUCCUGUUGAUGAGCUUCCUGAAGUGCUCGAUAAUCUGGACUUGAUACUAUCAACAGUCAAUCAAUUACCAAGUGAGCCAAUUCAGGAAGCACUUGUACCUUCCAUGAAAGCAUUGAUUUCUGAUGAACUUCUAAGGCACACCGAUGAGGAUGUUAAUAUUUCGGUUACAUCUUGCAUUUUGGUAAUAAGGAAGCAAUUUUCCAUCAUUCACACCCUCAUCCUCCAUUCAUCUUUAACAAAAUAUUGCACCACAAAUUUUGUUAAAACAUUCUAGUGAUUGGCUAUGCAAUUUAGCUAGCUAAAUGCUUAUUAGGUAAGUAUCUAGGAAAACAAAUUGGAACCAAUGAUUGAUAUUAUUAAACUACUGUAGGGUAUCCUAUGGAGAAGGUAUUGGGGCAGUGUCCCAGCAACUCUAUAGUGUCCUUACAAGACUACAGAUGGGUAUUACAGAGGAUGUGAUGAAUUGGACUGUUGAGCUGAGAUAGGCACAUAAAGAAAUAGCUGGCACUGCAUCUUCGCUGAAAUCCCGUGCAAAUCUCCAAUCACUAGAACUAGUUCUUUUAAAAUUUUGCUUUUGGAUAUGAUUAGUUCUUGUGGAUAGUCACUGGGGUGUGUGUAUUGCUUUU